AUUGAACGCUGGCGGCAUGCCUUACACAUGCAAGUCGAGCGGCAGCACGGGAGCAAUCCUGGUGGCGAGUGGCGAACGGGUGAGUAAAGUAUCGGAACGUGCCCAGUCGUGGGGGAUAACGUAGCGAAGGUUACGCUAAUACCGCAUACGAUCUAUGGAUGAAAGCGGGGGAUCGCAAGACCUCGCGCGAUUGGAGCGGCCGAUAUCAGAUUAGGUAGUUGGUGGGGUAAAGGCUCACCAAGCCGACGAUCUGUAGCUGGUCUGAGAGGACGACCAGCCACACUGGGACUGAGCCACGGCCCAGACUCCUACGGGAGGCAGCAGUGGGGAAUUUUGGACAAUGGGCGAAAGCCUGAUCCAGCCAUGCUGCGUGCAGGAUGAAGGCCUUCGGGUUGUAAACUGCUUUUGUACGGAACGAAAAGGUUUGGCCUAAUAAGCUGAGCUCAUGACGGUACCGUAAGAAUAAGCACCGGCUAACUACGUGCCAGCAGCCGCAGUAA
rnacentral:rRNA from 1 species